rnacentral:rRNA from 1 species
UACGUAGGGUGCGAGCGUUGUCCGGAAUUAUUGGGCGUAAAGAGCUCGUAGGCGGCGUGUCGCGUCGGCCGUGAAAACCUGGGGCUCAACUCUGGGCGUGCGGUCGAUACGGGCAUCACUUGAGUUCGGCAGGGGAGACUGGAAUUCCUGGUGUAGCGGUGAAAUGCGCAGAUAUCAGGAGGAACACCGGUGGCGAAGGCGGGUCUCUGGGCCGAUACUGACGCUGAGGAGCGAAAGCAUGGGUAGCGAACAGG